UACGUAGGGGGCAAGCGUUGUCCGGAUUUAUUGGGCGUAAAGAGCGUGUAGGCGGUCCGGUAAGUCCGUUGUGAAAGUCGAGGGCUCAACCCUCGAAUGCCGGCGGAUACUGUCGGACUAGAGUCCGGAAGAGGCGAGUGGAAUUCCUGGUGUAGCGGUGAAAUGCGCAGAUAUCAGGAGGAACACCGAUGGCGAAGGCAGCUCGCUGGGACGGUACUGACGCUGAGACGCGAAAGCGUGGGGAGCAAACAGG
rnacentral:rRNA from 1 species